UACGAAGGGUGCAAACGUUGCUCGGAAUUACUGGGCGUAAAGCGCGUGUAGGCGGCUCGGAAAGUCGGAUGUGAAAGCCCUGGGCUUAACCUAGGAAGUGCAUUCGAAACUCCCGUAGCUUGAGUUCUGGAGAGGGAAGCGGAAUUCUCGGUGUAGAGGUGAAAUUCGUAGAUAUCGAGAGGAACACCAGUGGCGAAGGCGGCUCACUGGACUGGUAUUGACGCUGAGGUGCGAAAGCGUGGGGAGCAAACAGG
rnacentral:rRNA from 1 species